rnacentral:tRNA from 2 species
GGAUUGCUGACAGAAUUAAAUGUGUUUAGUUUAGGUCUAAAAAAUGAGCCUUUACAGCUCGCUAUCUU